CUGACACAGGUGCUGCAUGGCUGUCGUCAGCUCGUGUCGUGAGAUGUUGGGUUAAGUCCGUAACGAGCGCAACCCUUGUCCUUAGUUACCAGCACGUUAUGGUGGGCGACUCUAAGGAGACUGCCGGUGACAAACCGGAGGAAGGUGGGGAGUGACGUCAAGUCAUCAUGGCCCUUACGGCCUGGGCUACACACGUGCUACAAUGGUCGGUACAAAGGGUUGCCAAGCCGCGAGGUGGAGCUAAUCCCAUAAAACCGAAUCGUAGUCCGGAUCGCAGUCUGCAACUCGACUGCGUGAAGUCGGAAUCGCUAGUAAUCGUGAAUCAGAAUGUCACGGUGAAUACGUUCCCGGGCCUU
rnacentral:rRNA from 1 species